CCUUGAAUCUAUUCAUUUUAUUUUAAAGAGGAUUAAUUGCGGGAAUAUGGAGGAAUCAAAAUCUAUUUUAAGGAUUCAUCCAAUGACAUUGCCUUGAUGCUCAUCUAAAACCUGUUCUGGAUGAAGAGUAUUUAUUUCUACAUUUGUUCCACCCUGAAGAUGAAAAGGGGAAGAGUCACAUUUGUUUAUGACUCUCGUGUGCACUGCAAAUGAAACUUCUAUGCUUUAUCUGCAUUUUUUAUGGAAGGAAAUGUCAGAUUAUAAAGCCUUCUGGACAUGUUUUGCUAUUGAAGUCUACGGUUACAUUGACUAAAUCCCUCCAUUCUCCUAACAUGAACUGAUAAGUGAAAAAUGGCCCUUAAGAUGGCAACAGGGAUUCCUCCAAAGACUAAAGCGCCAUUUUGGUGGAAAUCUUCAGGAUGUAAAUGUAGAAGGAAACGGUGCAGACGGGAGUCAAAAAAAAAGAAAAGAAAAGAAAAGACAGAUAUGUUCUCGCAGACGAGCUUAGUGUCCUCAAAGUGGGUUUUUCAGGUAAUAACCCAGCAUUGGGAGGGUGUGUAUUUAGUGCGCUGAGUGAUCUACUAAGGAGUCAUUGUCCUCCACAAAAAGGACUGAGAACAACCUGUGCUCUGAGUUAUUCCAGCUAUGUCCAUUCAGUAGACGUUUGGUUACUAUCAUAGGAUUUUGUUAGAGCAAAAUUUACUUAAUCUUGCUUCAAGUUUGUUGCUGUUGUUGCUCGUUUUACGCCGGAUACCCUUCCUGACGCAACCCUCCCAUUUUAUCCAGGCUUGGGUCCGGCACUGAGAGCUUCAGAGUGUGCAUCAUGUUUGUGAUUUCUUAAAUUCACAUGUAUCCUGACCAACUGCACAGAUCAGUUAGAGCUCCUGGACUCUCCUGGAUAAUCAGUCACCCAGAAAUGAAAACAAUAAUCCAUGAGCCAUCAGGAUAAAAUGAUGAAUAUGAUAUACACUGGGUCUCUGCACUGGGUGUCUGAAAUU